rnacentral:rRNA from 1 species
GAUGAACGCUGGCGGCGUGCCUAAUACAUGCAAGUCGAGCGAACGGACGAGAAGCUUGCUUCUCUGAUGUUAGCGGCGGACGGGUGAGUAACACGUGGAUAACCUACCUAUAAGACUGGGAUAACUUCGGGAAACCGGAGCUAAUACCGGAUAAUAUUUUGAACCGCAUGGUUCAAAAGUGAAAGACGGUCUUGCUGUCACUUAUAGAUGGAUCCGCGCUGCAUUAGCUAGUUGGUAAGGUAACGGCUUACCAAGGCAACGAUGCAUAGCCGACCUGAGAGGGUGAUCGGCCACACUGGAACUGAGACACGGUCCAGACUCCUACGGGAGGCAGCAGUAGGGAAUCUUCCGCAAUGGGCGAAAGCCUGACGGAGCAACGCCGCGUGAGUGAUGAAGGUCUUCGGAUCGUAAAACUCUGUUAUUAGGGAAGAACAUAUGUGUAAGUAACUGUGCACAUCUUGACGGUACCUAAUCAGAAAGCCACGGCUAACUACGUGCCAGCAGCCGCGGUAAUACGUAGGCGGCAAGCGUUAUCCGGAAUUAUUGGGCGUAAAGCGCGCGUAGGCGGUUUUUUAGUCUGAUGUGAAAGCCCACGGCUCAACCGUGGAGGGUCAUUGGAAACUGGAAAACUUGAGUGCAGAAGAGGAAAGUGGAAUUCCAUGUGUAGCGGUGAAAUGCGCAGAGAUAUGGAGGAACACCAGUGGCGAAGGCGACUUUCUGGUCUGUAACUGACGCUGAUGUGCGAAAGCGUGGGGAUCAAACAGGAUUAGAUACCCUGGUAGUCCACGCCGUAAACGAUGAGUGCUAAGUGUUAGGGGGUUUCCGCCCCUUAGUGCUGCAGCUAACGCAUUAAGCACUCCGCCUGGGGAGUACGACCGCAAGGUUGAAACUCAAAGGAAUUGACGGGGACCCGCACAAGCGGUGGAGCAUGUGGUUUAAUUCGAAGCAACGCGAAGAACCUUACCAAAUCUUGACAUCCUUUGACAACUCUAGAGAUAGAGCCUUCCCCUUCGGGGGACAAAGUGACAGGUGGUGCAUGGUUGUCGUCAGCUCGUGUCGUGAGAUGUUGGGUUAAGUCCCGCAACGAGCGCAACCCUUAAGCUUAGUUGCCAUCAUUAAGUUGGGCACUCUAAGUUGACUGCCGGUGACAAACCGGAGGAAGGUGGGGAUGACGUCAAAUCAUCAUGCCCCUUAUGAUUUGGGCUACACACGUGCUACAAUGGACAAUACAAAGGGCAGCGAAACCGCGAGGUCAAGCAAAUCCCAUAAAGUUGUUCUCAGUUCGGAUUGUAGUCUGCAACUCGACUACAUGAAGCUGGAAUCGCUAGUAAUCGUAGAUCAGCAUGCUACGGUGAAUACGUUCCCGGGUCU